rnacentral:miRNA from 1 species
CCACGGCACUGGGCUGGGCUGGGCUGGGCUUCGGGCCCGACUGCACCUCUGACUCUGUACCUGGCUCGCCCGUGACC